rnacentral:misc_RNA from 1 species
GAAGGGAAGGGCUUAUCACAGCCGACGGUCGGCUAUUCAUCCUCGAAAAGAAAGAAAAAUAAUAAUAACGGAGCACAGAUUAAGAUGGAAAUCUCUUGUGCGCCUGUGAUAGACGCGAGCGAGGACUAGCGCAUAAAGGGCGUGUCACAGCUUGUAACGUAGGUGUGCAUGGUUAGAUAUGUGGCACCUCUCUCUCCCGCUUGUUGUUGGCGAGCGAGAGAGAAAUUGGAAUGCAUGUACCAUGUUUAGAGUGACCCGCACACAUCCUCGAGGUGCAGUACGGCAGACGAAUC